rnacentral:rRNA from 1 species
CAACGGAUAAAAGGUACUCCGGGGAUAACAGGCUGAUACCGCCCAAGAGUUCAUAUCGACGGCGGUGUUUGGCACCUCGAUGUCGGCUCAUCACAUCCUGGGGCUGAAGUAGGUCCCAAGGGUAUGGCUGUUCGCCAUUUAAAGUGGUACGCGAGCUGGGUUUAGAACGUCGUGAGACAGUUCGGUCCCUAUCUGCCGUGGGCGCUGGAGAACUGAGGGGGGCUGCUCCUAGUACGAGAGGACCGGAGUGGACGCAUCACUGGUGUUCGGGUUGUCAUGCCAAUGGCACUGCCCGGUAGCUAAAUGCGGAAGAGAUAAGUGCUGAAAGCAUCUAAGCACGAAACUUGCCCCGAGAUGAGUUCUCCCUGACCCUUUAAGGGUCCUGAAGGAACGUUGAAGACGACGACGUUGAUAGGCCGGGUGUGUAAGCGCAGCGAUGCGUUGAGCUAACCGGUACUAAUGAACCGUGAGG